CGCACCUUGCGCCCCUUGGUAUUCCGAGGGGUGGCACCCGUUUGUAGUGUCGUGAAUACCCUCCAACCUUCUUGGUUUAUCGACCGAGAAGGCUUGGACUUUGGUAGGUUUUUGUUUGCUGGCCUUGUUUUGUAAGCCAGCUCCUCCUAAAUGAAUUAGUGAGGCCCGCCGUGCCGAUCCUCGACGUGAUAAGUACGCUUCUACGUCUUGGGUUUCGCACCGUUCUUGCUUCCAACUUCGAGUUGUGACUCGACCUUAUAAACCUUGACCUCAAAUCGGGUGAGACUACCCGCUGAACUUAA
rnacentral:rRNA from 1 species